AAUCAACGCUGGCGGCGUGCCUCAGACAUGCAAGUCGAACGCGAAAGGUUCCUUCGGGAACCGAGUAGAGUGGCGCACGGGUGAGUAACACGUAGGUAAUUUGCCUUUGGGUGGGGAAUAACAGCCGGAAACGGCUGCUAAUACUGCAUAAUGCAGCGGCUCGACAUCGAGACAGUUGUUAAAGCGGGGGAUCGCAAGACCUCGCGCCUAAAGAGAAGCCUGCGGCAGAUUAGCUAGUUGGUAGGGUAAUGGCCUACCAAGGCGACGAUCUGUAACCGGCCUGAGAGGGCGGUCGGUCACACUGACACUGACAUACGGGUCAGACUCCUACGGGAGGCAGCAGUCGGGAAUUUUUGGGCAAUGGGCGAAAGCCUGACCCAGCAACGCCGCGU
rnacentral:rRNA from 1 species